rnacentral:lncRNA from 1 species
CGCCCGCGCGCCAAUGAGUUCACUUUCUUUCUCUCCCCCGCGCUCCCCCUCUCCCCGCCCGCCGGCCCCUCCAGCCUCCUCCAAGGCGGCGGACCAGGCCGGGCCGGAGUUUUCGGGGUUCAGCCCGCGAGCGGGAGGACCGGGGAGGCGAGGGAGGAGGAAGGCGAGAAGGGCCAGAUCGCGGGAGAGCCCAAUCACGGGGCGAGCUGGACCUGGCUGUGAUCAUUUAUAAUCCUUGACUCCUCCGCUCCGCCACUUGUCAAGAUGACAGGGGUCAUCCGUGAAUAACACUUCACGCUGAUGAAUGGCUCUUGCCGGCUUUCGGCUCUGAUGAGGGGUCUGCCCGCCGCCGAUUGAAAACACUAAUGAACUUACUGCGCCAUUUGAAAUUCACACGCACCAACAAAAUGGGGGGUGGGCAUUUCAGGUCAGCUGAGUCACCCGAGGAGGUGGCAGUGCAAGACACUGCCGGGAAGACGGAUUCCGAGGCAGAAGGGUGUAAUUAAGGAUUUCCACCCCCGGUAGGCGGCCCGUCCUUUGCAGAGCCUCUGAAAAUGACCCGCGCCUUCCUUUCCACAGUGUUCUUUCGUCCGAGACCGAAAAGCGCAAAUGACCUUUGGACAGGGAAGGGAGGCAGUAAACACUCAGACUUCCUUACCAGCCCCUGGUGGGCACUGCAGCAGAACAAUUGUCUGCCCCCCAGGUUCAAGCACCUAGGCCUCCGCCCCGCAUCACCUGGCCAGGGGCGGACCCGGGAGUCCUCCGAAGGCUCCACUCCCCACUUUUACUACUCUUCUUUCCUCUCCAUUCUCCCCUCAGAUUAGCGGCCGGACACUGUCCCUGCCUCGAUUUUGUUUGCUGUGGGAGGGAAAAAAAAAGUUUGCUGCUCCUCCCAAGACACUGGCCACUUUCUACUCACUGAAGUUCCCACCGCAGCGCUGGCUCCCGGCUCCCUAGCUCCCGCCCCCUGUCUGCAGGAAAGCCCUCCCCCGGAGCUUCCGAAACUGCUGGAGGUUCCAGAGUUUUGUAGCUCCGAAUGGGCGACCUGAGCCGAACCGCUCUCUGGCUGGGUGGUCGGCGGGAUCCUUCAGGCUCCUUUCGGGUCCGGGACGGGGCGGCGGCAGAGGUGGGGCGUGCGUGCUUGGGGCUGCCGAGUGAGUGCGGCUCCCUGGUGCGCGCCCGAGCAUCUCCCCGCCCUCUCCUGGGACCAGCAGUCUGCCCGUGGAGGGCUAGGAGCCCGCGACCAGGCCUGCCCCGGCCGUCGCCAACCUGUCCUUGGAAGCGUGGCGGAGACUGGUGCGCUCUCAGCCUCGUCGCGCCAGCCGCCUCGCGCCACCCUCCACUUUCAGCUUCAGAGCAGAGGAUUCCGCCGACCUCCACCUGUACCUGUACUCGGCCGUUAGGAAAUCCACUUGCAUUUUUAACUACCGUGCAGAACCAGAAACAGAUCGAGCACUGGGAGAACAAGGACGACGCCUCCUAGGAAAGCCUGAACCUUUAUGUUAGUUUAUCCAAAGUUUGGGCUAGAAGUGAGGAGAAUCCCUAAACUCGAGGUGGUGUGCCCAGACCCACAGCCCGUGUUCCCGAAGUUGCUAAGUGCCCGAGCGCAGCGCGUUAAGUAGAGAAGUCUUGGUAGUAAGCGAACCCGACCCGGCUCUCGGGGCGCUAGUGACGGAAAGCAGCACGCAUAUCUUUGCGGGAAGAAUCUAGAGUCGCCCUGGGAUAGAUCCAUCUCCUUCUGCCACUGAAUUUCACACUUGAAAAAGAUAAGGUCAUGGGGGCGGAUGAAUGAUAUCCCUCACUCAUUUAGCCAUUCUUAUUAUUAUAUAAAAAAAAGGCUUGUCAAUUAUGAAGGUGUGUCCCAGAUAUUACAUGAAGAUCAUGCAAACUACUUGAAAUUUGAAUCCGGACAUGAUCGUAAGGAAACUCUUUCAUAAAGCACUUUUGUGGCCUAGUUCCCACACACACACAAAAGUAUUAGGUCUUUAAAACUUUUCCAAGUAGUAAGUGAGACUCCCUCUUACUGUCUACGAAUACACAAUAAAGAGAUGAGACACUGCCCCAAUCCUAAAGAGGCCAGAACUGAAGUGCUACAUUGUGUGAGUUAGGGGAUGCUUCUUUUUUCCAGCUCUUUUUUCUAGAAUCCUCAUUACAGCUAACGCUGGUAAUAAAGGUAGGAAAACAAUAGAACUCAUAAAACUUAGAAAUGGUAAUAAAUCUUGGCUCCUGUCUCUAGCCCAGUUCCUUCUUACAUGAGAUUCAAAGUUUUUCAGUAUGCAAUGCUGAACGUUCACACUAUGGUUGCAAAAUAGAAAAAAAUACUCUAGAACUCAUUAAUACGGCCCUGCGCACUCUAUGCCAGGCGUCGCUGGUGGACAAAGCGCGCAGGGGUCCUCCUCUACGUCUGCCUGCGCCUGUAAUCCAGGCAGCUUACGUGUGUUAAAUUUGGGUCUCUCUCUGUCUCUCACACAAAGAAGUUCCAUCAUUUGAGGCCGUUAGGAAAAGCUGAUGUUGUGCAGUGCCAAACUACCACACGCUUCCUCCUUCGGAUGAAUCCCUGGAAAGCAGAGAGGCAGCUCGCUACGUGACCAUCAUGCUUUUUACCUCACUGAGCUGUUGUCAAGAGAGGGCGGGGAUGGCGGGCAGCUCACGUCGUGCCCUCCGCAGCAAUAAAAACUGGAGCGGGAGAAGAAAUGCAAGACAUCGCUGUCUGUUUUGCAAGCCUCUGGCCGCUCUCAGCAAACUCUGCCCGGCGCGGCUGGUGACUUUGCGGUGUGAACGCAGCCGGUCGUGCUCGGGAUAAUGGGACCGAGCUGGCGGCAUCGCCCUCCCGUGGGCCCCUCUUGCCACACAGAUGCGCAGCUCUCCAAAAGGAAAAUGUGGCCCAGCAACCCUCGCCUAGCCCUAGUCCUAGGAAUGCAUGCCUGGGGCCUUUGGAAGCCUCUCAAAGGGCUGGGGGGCGGGGGGGAGGGAUAUAAUGGGCCGAACCUCUGGAUUCAUUUUGGGGAAGAGGAGACAGGUUCUUGCCCCACUACUGAGGCAAGGCCAACAGCACCCUGCCCUGCUGCUCCACCGCCUCCCCGCGGGUCAAGUCUCAGCCGAGUGUCGCUGCCCACCUGAAGGUGACACCUGUCCAUUUUAGUCAGCAUCACAUGCGCCUUCCCUUUCUCCCCUUUGGGGUCUGUCCGUUUUCUCCUCCUGUCCUAAAGAGCCAGCUUGGAACUGAAGGGGCCGGGUAGCAGCUGUUUGUGCCUCUUGCCCGUGCAGACUCGAGGGUCUCCGCAGCCACUUCCUCCUUUAACACGCGAGGCUUUCAGGCGUGCAGAAGGGGACCGCCGGGUCAGGCAGGUAUUAGGCUCUCCAAGGACACUUGUGGACAUCACUGGAGUUUACCUAUUGUUUGGACUUUAUUACAUCUGCUUUAGCAAACGGAGGCAUGAGCGGCCUGUCUGCUGGGUUCAAACCCAGUUGCUGCCCCGGCUGCAACCUCUCCCACUCAAGAGACCCUAGGAACGAUGAGGAACGGGGUAGAAAUGACCAGGGGAGCCAAAUCUCAGGUACCGAGACCUUCCAGCUCACCCCUCAGGCUCAGGAAAGCCAAUAACCCACAUAUGCCCAAAAGGAGCUUAUGUCUCAACUGAGAACAGCAAAUAGGUGAUGGGCCACUUUAGAACAGAGGCUAAAGGCUGGUAGCCACUGAGCAAAACCCAAAUUCUAGGCACCUGAGGUGUUUCCCUUACACAAGUGCCUUCACAGGUAGCAAGCAAUUAAUCUGCAACAGUGAACAACACUAAAACUUAAAUUUUACAUGGAAGUCUCUCAAGUAGACAAAGUUAUUAUUGGGUGGGGUUUUCCCCCCACUGGCAAAAAAAUAACUUAUCCCUUGGCUGUUAGAUUGAGGGAACUAUAAAACAAAUAUUUUAAUUCGAUCACUGACAAAGUCAUAAAAUUCAAUGACUGUUUGUAGAGGAAAACAUGCUUUCAUUAUCUUAAUUAAAGCAAGAUAAGCCUCUCUCAAUGUGCAUGCAUUUUGGAGCCACUGAAUGGACUGGUGAUGAGACGAAGCAACCUUUAAUUGGGACCAUGCUUCUCCAGUACAUUCGUUUGUAUUCCAUGGUGUAAACCGGGCCUUACGCGUGGCUCCGACCUUCGGUGGAAAUGCAUUUGCGUAGCACCACCCAGGGGCUCCCUUGCUUUGGCUAGAGCCUCAUAAAAGACCCCAGGUUUUGCGAAGGAUUUUGAACACCAGCGUCUUUUAACAUGUGGAACUUUCGGUUUUGGUUUAGCUCUGUGAACGUAUUUAAAACUUGCUACAUUAUUCCACAGUGAAAGUUGGAACCUUUUUAAGAGUUAUCAUAGAGUGCCUUUUAACAUCUGUCAUAUUUUCUAUAAACAACUUUUCAGUGAGAAGCGUAUAUAGUGUACUCGAGGUAGGCAUUAGCUGCUGGCAAGGUUUAUGAUACAAUAGUGACACUACAGGACAAUUUUUUAGUCAAACAACACCCGUUAGAUAUUUCAGGGUCCAGCUUAUAUGUUAACUUGUAAAUAUAGGUUAAAAAUAUAGGUAUCAAGUGACUAAAUUCAGUAUCAGACAAAUUGAACAUCUUUUUAUUUCCCAGAAGUGCCCUACUCUUUCUCCUCCCUUUGGUGACCUCUUAGUCUGGAAUGCUCUGCAUCCGGGGCCCCUGGAACACAUAGUUUUUAAAGUACCUAUUAGUGAUACUCUCCUCCCGUUGGCAGUGCUUCCACUGUGUUUUCUGCAUGUAAUAAAGGAUGGCACUGUUUUUUGCAUAGGUCUUUCCUAAUAGCUGAGCACUCUUGGAGUGUAGGGGCUCAACCUUAUGCCUCUUUGGACACACAAGCCUAGCCCAUGGGCUGGCAUAUAGGAGCUGCUCAAUAAAUGUUUGUUGAACGAAUGAGUGGAUACACGAAUAAAAUAUUUUCAUUGUCUUUAGCCCCUCUGACUUUCUUUUUUAAACAGGGGUAUGUCAUAAAUAAAAUUUACCUUGAAAAUGCAUUUAAGUACACUGUUCUACUUCUCUGACCAUGAAGUUUUUAAUGGGACAUCGUUUUAAAAUUCUGGUCAUUACAACGAACCACUUUUGACCUUGGUUGACUUUUCUCAGAAUCAUAAUGCGAAGUAAAGACAAAAACAAUGAGAAAAGGCAAAGAGAUCAAAUUUUGGUUUUCUCUUUUUCAGUAGGAUAUGAUGUUUAUCGAAAUUUGGAAACAAAUUGUAGCAAGCACCUAUAACAUGUAGAUACUCAUGUUUUUAUAUUAAAUAUGACAUUAUUUAUAA